AACGCGAAGAACCUUACCUAGGUUUGACAUGCAGGGAAAAGCCGUAGAGAUACGGUGUCCGUAAGGGUCCUGCACAGGUGGUGCAUGGCUGUCGUCAGCUCGUGUCGUGAGAUGUUGGGUUAAGUCCCGCAACGAGCGCAACCCUCGUUCUAUGUUGCCAGCGGGUAAUGCCGGGAACUCAUAGGAGACUGCCGGGGUCAACUCGGAGGAAGGUGGGGAUGACGUCAAGUCCUCAUGCCCCUUAUAUCUAGGGCUGCAAACAUGCUACAAUGGCCGGUACAGAGGGCUGCGAGACCGCAAGGUGGAGCGAAUCUCAAAAAGCCGGUCUCAGUUCGGAUUGGGGUCUGCAACUCGACCCCAUGAAGUCGGAGUCGCUAGUAAUCGCGAAUCAGCAACGUCGCGGUGAAUACGUUCCCGGGCCUUGUA
rnacentral:rRNA from 1 species